AUGGAAUUGGGAGGGAAAUUAAAAGCAAUAAAGGCGGGGGCAGAGCUGCGCGGGUACAGGAACCACUGCCCUCCGGGGCUCCGCCAUCAAUGCCCGGAAUUACACUCCCCCAACUGCCUCCCUCCCAGUUAUUGCUCCUCCGCCUCCGCCUCCUCCACCUCACCUCCCCACGCCGCGGCGGCAACAGCAGCCCUCGCCGCCGAUCCCAACCGAAAACCACACGCUCCCUUCUUCCCCCGCUGUACGGCCGCGGCGCAGACGGCGGCCGGGCGGACGAUGACGGCGGCGACGGCGGCCGGAGACGGGGAAGAGGGAGGGAGGGGAGAGAUGGGGCCGGGGCAGAUGGGAGAGGAAGGCGCAGCUAAUAUCGUGGGGAGGGGUUUUGGUUGUUUAAGGAAGGCGUUUAAUGCUUUUGAAUUCCCCCUCCGGGCUCAAUUGGAAACUCUUUGCUCCGCCGCGCUGUUGCCUUGCCACGUCUGGCUCCGCUGGUUCCCAGUCAAGCAAGCGAGCGUGCGGCCGGCGGGGUGGCUCGGCUGGUGGACGGCGAGUCGUGGGCGGCGGGGGGGAGGGCUCUCUGAUUCUGAUGUUUUGUUUCUCCUGUCCAUCGUGGUGAGUAUGGAGAGUUUGGUCCUUGCGGACGGCACAGCGGCGGCCGGCAUGAUCAUGAGAAGACCUGAUGGCGGGGUGAUCUUCGCAGCUUAUCGCUAUUUGUUUAACUGUAAUGACGCACUGGAGGCGGAGUUACAUGCUUUGAUGCAGGGGAUGGCAUUGGCGCUGCAGCAUAGUGAUGGCCCGAUUAUUGUACAACUCCUCGGAGGCAUUGUCGGCUUUGAUGGGGAAUGGCUUGUCAAAAUCGGCAUAUGGACAUUUAGUAGCGGAGAUCAUGUUUAUUCCUUUGAAAAUUAA
rnacentral:rRNA from 1 species